UACAGAGACUCCAAGCGUUAUUCGGAUUCACUGGGCGUAAAGGGAGCGCAGGCGGCCAGAUGUGUCAGAUGUGAAAUACUGCAGCUUAACUGUAGAACUGCAUUUGAAACUAUCUGGCUAGAGUAUCGGAGAGGUAAGCGGAAUUCCAGGUGUAGCAGUGAAAUGCGUAGAUAUCUGGAGGAACACCAAUGGCGAAGGCA
rnacentral:rRNA from 1 species